CAGCCCUCAAGCCCUGUGCUUGGAGUUGAGCGCCGCCGGCCUACGGCGCGCUUUAAAAUCAGUGGCGGUGUCGGACGGCCCCGAGCGCAGUAAAGCUCUCGCUCUAGGGGCUCUGACGGGGCCUGCCAGAAGCGAACUAUGUCUGAAA
rnacentral:misc_RNA from 1 species